rnacentral:lncRNA from 1 species
CGGGGGCAGCACGAGGAAGACCCCGGACCUCGUCCCUAGCACUUAUCCAAAGGGUGCUGGAGCGCCCCGGCCGGGCGCCGUGCCCCCAGCCCUCCCGCCCCGAUCACAGCACCGUGGGGCGGGGGGCGCGGGGAGAGACCCCUGGCCCCGGCCGGGCUGUCCCCAUGCCCCAUGCAGCACUUAGGGACAGCGCAGGGUUGGACACGCCCUGGCCAGAGGACUCGGGAUGCUCAGCACUUGUCCCCUGCUCCACGCACCCCCUCCCAAGCGCUUACAAGGACGAGGCUGCCCUGAAGCCCCCCCAAGCACUUAGGGCCCCGGAGCGCGCGGGGUUCCCAGAGCUCGGCGGCCGCUCUCUGGCCUCAGCGGCAUGAGGGAAGCGGCGUGGGGCUGGAUACAGCCUGUGGGAUCCGCCAGCGCCGACACCAACCCGGCUGCGGGGCGGGAGGUUGGUGCCGCAGCCCCAAUCCCUGCUCUUCAGUGCCUUUGGGGGCUGCCAGCGCCGCCUCCGGAGCCGGCAGGGGGAUGGGGUGUGGAAGCAGCGUCCCGCAGCACCUGGGGGGCUCGUCCUGGAGAGGUGGCACUCGGGGCGUUUUGACAGUCCCCAUCGCAGCUGCACCCAGCGCCGGCCAUCGCCACCUUGCCCCUCCGCAUACGACACCGCUGGAUGCGGCCGCCGAUCAAGGACGCGCUCGGGCGGAGGAGUGGCAGCACCCAGAGCCGGGCGCCGGAAAAAAAGCCAAAAUCCGCUUUGGAGUGAACCGGGAAGGGCGCGGGGCCAGCGCGCUCCAAUGCUCAUCCACGGCCGCCAGCACAGCCUUGAGCCCCGCGCAGCCACGUGCCACCACGCUCGGCCCAACACGGAGGCACCCUGGGCACCGCUCACGGUGCUGCCCAUGAGACGCAGGGCACGAAAGGUGGCGGCACCGGCGCGGCCGAGCCCGGAGCCACGCGAGGCAGCGGAUGGGGACCACGGCCCCGAACCCCGGCCCUGCUCCCACAAAAGCCCCCGUGCCCACCGGGGUGCCGCGGCAGGCAGGUGGCGCCGGAGAAGAACUGGGACCAGUGCCCCGUGCUGACUGGUCCCAGCGCCGGACCGAGGGCAGCAGGCUGGGCGGCGCAGCCCCAGCAGGGCUCCGGACGACGACACCCGAGGCUUUACUUGCAGUGCCCGUUUAUUUUCCGCCCUGGGGGGACACGCGGGCAGGCUUCAGCCUCCGUACGGGCACGCUGCGCCCCUGGGAGGAGGAUGCAGCGUGGCCACCGCUCACCCAUGGGAGAAUCGCGCACGGAUGCGGCCGAGCAGGAGCCGAAAGCAGCGGGCACGCCGGCGUCCCUGCAAAAAGUAAAAUAAUAAUAAUAUUUUGGGAGAAGCGACAGGAAAGGCAAAAAAAAAAAAAAGCUCAGUGAUCGUCUCAGUUACUGUGUUGUAUAAAUCACGUUCGUUUUGUAUCUUGCGUUAGUCUCUGGUGUGUAUGCUAACCGUUGCUUCUGUCCCAGUUCCUUCCUUUUUUUUUUUUUUUUUUAGACUUUUUGUACAAUAAAAAAUUUAUAUAGCCAAAAAGAAGAGAGGAA